rnacentral:rRNA from 1 species
CAGCCGCCGCGGUAAUACGUAGGGGGCGAGCGUUACCCGGAUUCACUGGGCGUAAAGGGGGUGUAGGCGGCUCGGUAAGUCGGGUGUGAAAUCCCACGGCUCAACCGUGGAAUUGCGCCCGAAACUGCCGAGCUUGGGGCCGGUAGAGGGAGACGGAACUGCUGGUGUAGGGGUGAAAUCCGUAGAUAUCGGCAGGAACGCCGGUGGGGAAGCCGGUCUCCUGGGCCGCGCCCGACGCUGAGGCCCGAAAGCUAGGGGAGCAAACCGGAUUAGAUACCCGGGUAGUCCUAGCCGUAAACGAUGCCCACUAGGUGUGGGGGAGUAUUUCCUCCGUGCUGGAGCUAACGCGUUAAGUGGGCCGCCUGGGGAGUACGCCCGCAAGGGUGAAACUUAAAGGAAUUGGCGGG